rnacentral:rRNA from 1 species
AUUGAACGCUGGCGGCAGGCCUAACACAUGCAAGUCGAACGGAGUGGAGGACGUGUGAGUAAUGUCUGGGAAACUGCCAGAUGGAGGGGGAUAACGUCCGGAAACGGGCGCUAAUACCGCAUACUCUCAGAUGAGCCUAGGUGGGAUUAGCUAGUUGGGGGGGUAAAGGCCUACCAAGGCGACGAUCCGUAACUGGUCUGAGAGUAUGCUCAGUCACACUGGAACUGAGACCCUGUCCAGACUCCUACGGGAGGCAGCAGUGGGGAAUAUUGGACAAUGGGCGAAAGCCUUAUCCAGCCAGGCCGCGUGUGUGAAGAAGGUCUUCGGAUUGUAAAGCACUUUAAGUUGGGAGGCGUUACCAACAGAAUAAGCACCGGCUAACUUCGUGCCAGCAGCCGCGGUAAUUC